GGCCCUAUCGUCUAGUGGUUAGGACAUCAGGUUUUCAUCCUGAAAACAGGGGUUCAAUUCCCCUUGGGGCUA
rnacentral:tRNA from 1 species